GAUGAACGCUGGCGGCGUGCCUAAUACAUGCAAGUCGAGCGAACAGACGAGGAGCUUGCUCCUCUGACGUUAGCUUCGGACGGGUGAGUAACACGUGGAUAACCUACCUAUAAGACUGGGAUAACUUCGGGAAACCGGAGCUAAUACCGGAUAAUAUAUUCAACCGCAUGGUUCAAUAGUGAAAGACGGUUUUGCUGUCACUUAUAGAUGGAUCCGCGCCGCAUUAGCUAAUUGGUAAGGUAACGGCUUACCAAGGCAACGAUGCGUAGCCGACCUGAGAGGGUGAUAGGCCAAACUGGAACUGAGAAACGGUCCAGACUCCUACGGGAGGCAGAAGUAGGGAAUCUUCAGCAAUGGGAGAAAGGUUGAAGGAGCAACGACGCGUGAGUGAUGAAGGUCUUCGGAUCGUAAAACUCUGUUAUUAGGGAAGAACAAAUGUGUAAGUAACUAUGCAAGUCUUGAAGGUAACUAAUCAGAAAGCCCCGGCUAACUAAGUG
rnacentral:rRNA from 1 species